CGCACCUCCCGCUGCCCGACCCCGGCGCGACGGCCGCGCACGCUGAGGGAGCCGGCGGCGCAUGCGUGGCGGGUCUUCGCGCGUUCGAGCGGCGGCUGCGGAGCAGGUGCAGGAGUUCCUGAUCCCGUCAGGCUCCCCCAUCACUCGACCCUCACCAUCUGGAAGAAGUAGCCUGCCUGGAGUGGUUUUCCUGAACCCUGAACCAGAAUUACCAGUUGCUGGACCGGGAUGGGCCUGGAGUCCCCAUCUCAGGUGGGAGAAGGUGGCUCCGGUUAGUGCAGGGCCCUCUGGAGAUGACAUGAAGUGCCUGUAUUGGGACUGGGCAGUGAGCGCAUUAGACGUCAAAUGUAGGGUUAAUCUAAGCACACAUAUGCACAUAUGUAUGAAAUCCAGGCCUCCACUGCCGACAAAUCAUAAAGCCAGGCUUCUUUCUUACCUAUCCCCUAGGAGUCAAAGGGGGUAUAAGGAAAGACAGUCCUCGUUGCCCCAACCAGGUUAGGCCUGUACCAGGGCAGACAGGCAGUCAGGGUCAGACAGGACUGGGCUUUUAAUGCCCAAAGUGUAGGAAUAUGUCCUAGUGCUAGUAGCUGACAUUGGCCCUGAGCUCCCAAGGACUGUCCCAAAGCCAUCCAGGGGCAGGGAGGGAGGCCCCACAGAGCGGGCAAGAAAGCUGAUCCCUGACAAUGCUCACCGGAGAUGGGGCUGAGCAGGAGGUGGUGAUCAACUGAAAGGCAAGAGUGUCUUUGCAGGACUUUGAAGGACACCGGGAGGCCCCACCCGCCUCUGUAUUGCCCAAGGAGCUGGGUGUGAGGAAGUGUACAACAUUGCUCACCAGCCCUUGGGAUGACUCACCCCUGGCCCAGCCAGGUGGGGUGGUGUAGGGGCACUAGCUGGUGUGCCCCCUUUAAAACCAUGUGUCCUUGAGGCUCCUGUCUGGGCUAUGUGCCAGCACUAACGAUGAUAACAGUCCUGGGCUUGGCCAACCCAGCUGCUUUCUCAUGGAAUAGUUAGCACAAAGACCCUCGAGGUCUGAGGAAACACAGAGGCCCUCCAGUUGGGCGGGGGGGAGGGAUGUCUCUGGUCCUGGGAAUGCAGGUCAUAGACGGAUGAUCCCCCUUGGCAAGCACACAGCCUUUGUUCCUCUGCCUACUUAAGCUUCUCUUGGGGGGCAGUAGCCGUGCACAGAUCUAUGUCCAGCUGGCUGCCCCGGGACUCUCUCCCUGUACGUAAGUCCCAAUAAAUCUGCACAUCUUG